rnacentral:rRNA from 1 species
AUGAUCCUGGAGAUGAAAGACAAGUGCUUUAGGUGCCUCGAGAAGGGCCACUUCCGGCGGGACUGCACCAACUGGAGGUCUACAUCAGAUGUGGCUGGCCAGGCCAUGGCUCCCGUCACUGCAAGAGGCCCAAGAGCCCUUCCUUGGCCGAUGAGCUCCGGCGGGAGGCUAUCGCUAAGGUGGCUUGUCACACAUCCCCGCGCGUGA